UUCUGGUUGAUCCUGCCGGACCUGACUGCUAUCGGAUUGAUACUAAGCCAUGCAAGUCUUUGUAGUAAUACAAGGCAUACGGCUCAGUAACGCGUAGUCAACCUACCCUAUGGAUGGGGAUAAUCUCGGGAAACUGAGCAUAAUACCCAACAGAUCAUCAAUUCUGGAAUGGUUGAUGAUUCAAAUGAUUUUUCGCCAUAGGAUGGGACUGCGGCCUAUCAGCUUGUUGGUGAGGUAAUGGCCCACCAAGGCAAUUACAGGUACGGGCUCUGAGAGGAGAAGCCCGGAGAUGGGUACUGAGACAAGGACCCAGGCCCUAUGGGGCGCAGCAGGCGAGAAAACUUUGCAAUGUGCGAAAGCACGACAAGGUUAAUCCGAGUGAUUUCUGCUAAAGGAAUCUUUUACCAGUUCUAAAAAUACUGGCGAAUAAGGGGUGGGCAAGUUCUGGUGUCAGCCGCCGCGGUAAAACCAGCACCUCAAGUGGUCAGGAGGAUUAUUGGGCCUAAAGCAUCCGUAGCCGGCUCUGUAAGUUUUCGGUUAAAUCUAUAUGCUCAACAUAU
rnacentral:rRNA from 1 species